rnacentral:pre_miRNA from 1 species
AGUGGGAUAGCUGGGUCAAACGAUGGCUCCAUUCCAAGUUUUCUAAGGAAUCUCCAUAAUGCUUUCCAGAGAGGUUGCACCAUAUGCAGUCCCACCAGCAAU